CUGAUUUAUUUGCACCCUGACCCCUGCUCCCGUCUCAGCCUGUAUUUACAGAUCCGCCUUUGUGUCCUGUUGACUGUUUCAUGCCUUCAACCAGGAGCUCCAUACGCAUGAGGAGGAGGCACAAUCAUCAAAGGCCUCUCCCCGCCAGCGUCUGCGCAGCCCUCCGGGUUGGGACAGGACUCUGCAGUGAUGCCCUCGGUCCCGGUGGUGCUAGUGGUGAAGAACCUGCCUGCCAACGCAGGAGACACAGAGACACAGGUUUGAUUCCUGGGCCGGGAAGAUCCCCUGGAGGAGGGCCUAGUGACCCACUCCAGUAUUCCUGCCUGGAGAAUUCCAUGGACAGAGGAGCCUGGAGGGCUAUAGUCCAUGGGUUGCAAAGAAUCGGACACAACUGAAGUGACUUAGCAUUACCAGUCAGCUAUAAAGUUCUCUUCUUUUUCAUUUAUGAGCUUAUCAAGACUAGGAAGGUUUUGAA
ensembl:lncRNA